rnacentral:lncRNA from 1 species
GAGAUCUGAAGUCACGCCCCAGAAGGAGAGAGGACAGUGCCAGCUCCCUUGGUGCCACUUUUGACACAGUCCUGCCUCUGUCAGCAUCCGCCUUGAGUCAUCCUUACCUAAAAUGAGGAAGGCAGUCCCAGGAGGGUCUGAAAAGUUUGGAGUAUCCUCAGCUCUAUGUGGGUCACGGCUCUUCCUCUGGAUGUACUGGGAGACACCCCUACCUGUAAACAAAGGAUGUGGAAAGAACAGGAAGACCAUCAAGU